AUUGAACGCUGGCGGAAUGCUUUACACAUGCAAGUCGAGCGGCAGCGCGGGGCAACCUGGCGGCGAGCGGCGAACGGGUGAGUAAUGCAUCGGAACAUGUCCAUGUCGUGGGGGAUAGCCCGGCGAAAGCCGGAUUAAUACCGCAUACGCCCGAGAGGGGAAAGUGGGGGACCGCAAGGCCUCACGCGAUUGGGUUGGCCGAUGUCCGAUUAGCUAGUUGGCGGGGUAAGAGCCCACCAAGGCGAUGAUCGGUAGCUGGUCUGAGAGGAUGAUCAGCCACACUGGGACUGAGACACGGCCCAGACUCCUACGGGAGGCAGCAGUGGGGAAUUUUGGACAAUGGGGGCAACCCUGAUCCAGCCAUUCCGCGUGAGUGAAGAAGGCC
rnacentral:rRNA from 1 species